rnacentral:rRNA from 1 species
GGAGGGUGCAAGCGUUAUCCGGAUUCACUGGGUUUAAAGGGUGCGUAGGUGGAUUGGUAAGUCAGUGGUGAAAUCCCCGAGCUUAACUUGGGAACUGCCGUUGAUACUAUCAAUCUUGAAUAACGUGGAGGUAAGCGGAAUAUGUCAUGUAGCGGUGAAAUGCUUAGAUAUGACAUAGAACACCCAUUGCGAAGGCAGCUUACUACACGAUCAUUGACACUGAGGCACGAAAGCGUGGGGAGCAAACAGGAUUAGAUACCCUGGUAGUCCACGCCCUAAACGAUGGAUACUCGACAUCAGCGAUACACUGUUGGUGUCUGAGCGAAAGCAUUAAGUAUCCCACCUGGGAAGUACGAUCGCAAGAUUGAA